rnacentral:lncRNA from 1 species
AAACUUCUUUUAUACUUUUAUAUUGUCAAAUGCAUGCCUAUAUCUGUAUAGUUAUAUAAGUAAUGUUUAAAGGACUUAGGACUGCUAGCUCGCUUUAAUUCCUUUUCCUUGUUUGGAUGUGGCCUUAGGGUAUCGGUUAUUUGUCUGAAUGUCGUCUAAAUAUUAGUUAUAUAUUAUGUAUAAUUAUAUAGACAUAAAAGUUCCAUCAGUCAAUUCAGUACCUUUGAGUAGCAAAGGCAUACUUUCAGUUAUACACGUACAUUACUAGUAACUAUAAUAGGUAUAGUUAGGAGAUACGACUUACUAUUCCAAGUACAAGGAAUCACACAAGAGUCAGUUCAUUCAUGAGUCUAUACUAAUACAUUACAUAUUAUAUGAAGAGAUNCAUUCAUGAGUCUAUACUAAUACAUUACAUAUUAUAUGAAGAGAUACUAUUACAGAAGUACAGUUACAGAAAUACUAUUACAUACUAUAUGAAGAGAUACUAUUACAUACAAUUACAAGAGAGACAAUUACAGAGAUAUAAUUACAAGAGAGACAAUUACAAAGAUACAAUUACAGAGAUACGAUUACAUAGAUACUAUUACAUAUAUACUAUUACAUAGAUACUAUUUCAUAGAUACUAUUACAUACGUCACAGGACUUACCAUUCCACACCCAAGGCUGUUAGCUAGAGUAGGGAAAAUGCACAUCGACAGUUGUCUACGGUUGUAUUGUUCGGCAAGUUUCCACGCCGUGAA